AAAAGAACGGUGUCAAAUGGUAAAGUAUAUAGCUUUAUAUGGUAUCCUAUCUUUGGAAAAUGCAGGGACAGCUUGGAGCACAUGUAUGUUUAGGAUGUUUACUGUAUUCUGUGACUGUGUCUGUGCUGCACAGUGUUGACUCAACUAUAUGUAUAAAUCUUUUUCUGUAAUUUUGUAAGGAUUGCAAUAUAUGGGCGGUCCAUGUCUAGUUCAUAUUUAACUUUGCAAAGUGUAAGGAUGGUUUGGGACGCAUUGUUGUGUGUUAUAAUUUUGUAUUGUAGCUUUGUUAAAGUUAUAACCUGUCUCUAUUGUUUUACAAUGUUAAUGUAAUAUGUAGGUAGGACUUACUUUGGGACUCCACAGUCCUGUUGUCUGUACCUUCAAUCGUUUUGUUGAUUGUAAAGUUUAUAAAUUAAAAUAUACAUACUAUACUAUACUAUACUAUACUAUACUAUACUAUACUGUACUGUACUGUACUGUACUGUACUGUACUGUACUGUACUGUACUGUACUGUACUGUACUGUACUGUACUGUACUGUACUGUACUGUACUAUAUCAAGUAUAUACAUACCAGUAUAUACAUACCAUACUAUAUCAAGCCAUCCGUUGCCUGGCGAGUGGUCCUUAAUCUUUAUUUUCGUUCUGAGCCCAGUUGUAUAAAACUAUCGUGACUAAAACACCACACGAGUACAUACGAGUAACAUACGAGUAACACACAAGUACACACAAGUACAUACGAGUAACAUACGAGUAACAUACGAGUCCAUACGAGUAACACACGAGUAACAUACAAGUACACACGAGUAACAUACGAGUACACACGAGUAACAUACGAGUACAUACGAGUACAUACGAGUAAAAUACGACUACAUACGAGUAAAAUUUCUUUUAAGAGUCAAAACUUUCACUUUGGCUUCGUAUUAUGUUCAUGUUGGGAAUGUCUUAUUGACAUAGGCGUACGAGACGGGGGGGCAGGGGGGGCAACUGCCCACCAAAAUUUUGGAAAACCAUGGAAAUUCGGGCAAACGCUAGGAAAAAUCAAGAAAAUUCGGGCAGAUUUAUCAGAAAAUAUGUUAAAAUCAGGUUAUUUCAUUACAAUUCACCAUAAAAAUUCGGGCAAACUUUCAACUCCCCCCCCAGAAAACAUCAGCCCCCGUUCUCCUAUGCGUAUUGAUGGAUUUCGAAGCCUCGCACGACGUAGAAAAGUAAUUCAUUAAUAUAGAAUAAAGAUUUGUAUGUUCUAAGACUCUAAAAAGGUUUAAAUGUAGUAUAUUGCUCACAGGCUGUCAGAGAGUUUUUGUAGUACAUGAAAGUGUAUGUUUGCCAUGUUGUUUAUACGUCUGUAGUCUAUGUGUUUUGCAAAUUUAAUACGUCAAUUGUACACCUGUUAAUACGUUUUCAACAGGAAAAAUAAAAGACGUAAAAUGCUUAGGGUUCAUUAUUUAUCGGUUGGGGGGGGGGGCUGAUAAAAUAAUAGGGGGGAUAUAUUUUAUGGGUGUAAAAGAGUGGUUUAAAUCUUCUGAAGAAGUGUUUUGGGGAGACAAUAAAAUUUUAUAGCAUUUAUAUAAAGAAGAUGGUAUAGAGACAGUGUCGUAGCCAGCGUAAAAGGCGUGAGCUAUUUUAGGGGAGGUCUGGAGGCAUGCUCCCCCAGAAUAUUUUGAAUUCUAUAGUCCCUGAAAUGCGAUUUCCUGCAUUUUCGGGGUGUGAGUUUGCAUGUCCGAAGACUGUAUAAUAUGCAUAAAAGACAUGAUUUUUCGUGAUGGAAAAUGAUGGUUUAAAAUAAUGAAAAUCACUUUUAAAACCGAAUGAUGAUUGAAAGUAAAUAUAUUUUAAAUUAAAAAACCUAAAGUGAACCCUUUCUUCUUGGGGCCAUAUCUACUUAUUUAGACAAGGUUAUACACAAUUAUAUUGUGGAUUUGAAUUUUUAUUUCACGCACCCCCCUCCCACUGUUGGCUAAAUCCUGUCCAGCAUUCCCAAGUUGAAGGUCAUCUCUACGCCCCUGGUUGUAAGGAGCACACAAAAGAAUAGGAUGGGAAGAACUACCAUACGGCCAUACGUUCUUCUUAACUUUAAUGUUGGAGGGGAGUGAAAAAUUUUCAGACUGUUCUAAAGGGGUGGACUACAUUUUUAAACACAUUAAAAGGGAGGGUCAUUUUUAUUAUGCUGUUUGAAUUUUAGNNNNNNNNNNNNNNNNNNNNCCCCCGACAAAUAAUGAACCCUAAGUAUUUUAUAUUUCCCUGUUGAAAACAGGUGUACAAUUGACGUAUUAAAUUUGCAAAACACAUAGACUACAGACGUAUAAACAACAUGGCAAACAUACAUUUUCAUGUACUACAAAAACUCUCUGACAGCCUGCUGUGAGCAAUAUACUGCAUUUAAACCUUUUUAGAGUCUUAGAACAUACAAAUCUUUAUUCUACAGGGUGUAUCAAAAUAAACGCAAUUCAUCUUUUGUGCUUAAUAACUUUCGAAAUACUAUUUCUAGUUAAACGCUUUUAUGCUUACUUCAAAGCAUGUUCUUUUCUCUUUCAAACAAACUAUUAUCCUUGUCUCCAAUGCUAGUAAUAAUUGCACAGGAAAAGAUUUAGUAAAACCUAUCAUUUUUAGUUGCUGUUUAAUUAUGCAAGUUUACUAUGUUAUUGUUUAGUCGGUUUAAAUGUUAGAAUUUUCUUCUUUAAACUUUAAUGUUGUCGUCAAUACAUCUGGAAAACCACGUAAGAACAAAUUAAAAGUAUUUUAAAAGAGACCAGGUUGUUUGAAAAUCCUAAACGAAUGCUAAAAAUCAUAGAAUCAAAACAUUCUGGUGUCUGAGCCAGAGUGUCAUCGAAUUACGAUGUAAUGUAAAACAGAAAUUAUAGCAAGCUGAUGUCAGUCAGCUUAGAUGGUCCAAGCCAAAAUUAUAUCGCAUUUGAAGUUUCAAACUGAGUUAAAAAUAGUGGAAGAAAAGCCGUAAUCAUACUUAUUGUUACAAUCCAUUUAAUAAAAUGCAACAUUGUUUUUGUUUUAAUGAAAAAAUCAGUUAUUUUCAUGAGAACGAUUUGUUAUACCAUCUCAAUUUUUUUAAUCUCCAAUCGCAAUAACGUAAAGUAUUAUUACCCGCGAACCAAUGAGUCAAAUUUAAGAAACAACCCACUGUUAGAAAGCUGAAUGGCUACGUUUUAAAAUGAAUGUAAACUUUAACGUUUUCGUCUAUUAUUUGUUUAGCAAUUUACAUUUCAGUCGAGGAUUGCGCUUUUUUUGAUACACCCUGUAUAUUAAUGAAUUACCUUUUCUACGUCGUGCGAGGCUUCGAAAGGGGGGGGGGGAGUUGAAAGUUUGCCCGAAUUUUUAUGGAGAAUUGUAAUGAAAUAACCUAUUUUAACAUAUUUUCUGAUAAAUCUGCCCGAAUUUUCUUGAUUUUUCCUAGCAUUUGCCCAAAUUUCCAUGGUUUUCCAAAAUUUUGGGCGGCAGUUGCCCCCCCCCCCCGCCUCGUACGCCUAUGUCAAUAAGGCAUUCCCAACAUGAACAUAAUACGAAGCCAAAGUGAAAGUAUGAAAGUGAAGAAACUUUAAAGAAAGCGUUCUAAUUCUCGUAUUUUACUCGUAUGUACUCGUAUUUUACUCGUAUAUACUCGUAUUUUACUCGUAUGUACUCGUAUGUUCUUGUAUUUACUCGUAUGUUACUCGUGUGUACUCGUAUGUUAUUCGUGUGUACUUGUAUGUUACUCGUGUGUUACUCGUAUGUACUCAUAUGUUACUCGUAUGUACUCGUAUGUACUCGUAUGUACUUGUGUGUUACUCGUAUGUUACUGGUGUGGUGUUUUAGUCACGAUCGUAUAAAACUCCUAAUCACUUAAUUACUAUUACUAUUUUGUAGUUAAAUAGUGGUUAAUUUUAAUCACAUAGUUAAGUUGGUUCUAUAAAACUAUAGUUAGCGUUAGCUGCAGCUAAAAAGUAGUUAAAGUUAACUAUUCUCUAAGGUAUCGUUAACUUCUCAAAACGUAGUUAAAAAUGGCGCUUGUAUAGCUAUGAAAAGCAAUGCUCACCUUGGAUUUUCAAUCGUUAUCUUCCCUGUGAAUGUUUCCUGACAAUAUAAACUCUUCAAUCGCUUUGGUGUUUUUCCGAAAACAAAAUAUAUUUUUGCAUGGGAACAUUUCUCGAUGACAACGUAGGGCCCAUUAACCGAAGAAACAUAAUAUAUAAUUAUCAAACAGUUACAAGGUCUUCUUCGUUAAUUUUUCCUUGUUUUCGUAUUUAUUUUUCACUGCUUUGAAUAAAUUUCCCGCCUAUUUGCAAAAUGCGAGUCCACAUCAUUUUAAAAAGCUUGUAAGCGGUCGUUAAUAGUCUUUAUUUUAUGUAUAUAGUUGUAUUGUUAUACACCACACACAAUUAAGCCCCACGCUAGUUAAAUGCUGUACGUGAUUAGCUAAUCAUCCAACAAACUACGUUUUGUGCAACGCAAUUAGUCGUGUAGUUAACUAAUCAUAGUUAAGGAUUUAACUACUUACUAUACAGUGAUUAACGCUAAUCAUAGUUAAAUUAAAGUUAAUAACGUUUUUAUACAAUGGCCCCAGAGCAUUAUACUUAAUCAGGAAUUAAACUUAGAAAUAAUAUAGAAAGUAACGUACGAAUUUAAAGAAAUAAUUGAAUGAUAUUUUUGAGGUUUUUGGGGAGUUUAGAAAUUGAUUUCACUUGUAAACUGUGAACUUGUUGUAAAAAUCCACUUGCUCACGCAGCGCUUGAAAUUGACGUACACAAAUGUGAAAUAAAAGUCGUUAUAUACAAAUUUCACUCGUUUACUUGUGUUUGCGAAGUUGUCUUUACAAGGGAUAUCUACACGUUCGUUUUCAAAACAAGUAUUGCUGCAUAUUUCCAGUAAAAAAAUAAUUAAUAUCUGCAUGGCUACAAUACAUGUAAUGCGCUAUUGCCAUCGCCAAUAUAUAUAUAUAUAUAUAUAUAUAUAAUUACGCAAUAUGCUUAAUAAACAUGUACAUGACGCGAAAAUUAGAACAUUUUAGUUAACAUAAAAUUUCUAUAACGGUUAUUUUUUGGAACACAUUUUAAGUGUUGAGUUGUCGUGUUAGGAAAGUAAGAGCGUUUUAUGCACAUCUAAAUUCUCCUCUCCAAUCACAUAUUUAUUGAUUUUCGUUAUCCAGUUAAUAUUUUGAGAAAGCUAUAUUCUAAAGAAUUCUUUAAGGUAAUUCCGCAGUUUUGCAUUGUGCACUUUUACUGCGCACAUCUUAUAACUUAUAAUUUCAUCCAUUAUACGUACCGUUUAAAAAAUAUCAUUUUAUGACAAUUUUGUAUUACUUCAAAACAUCUUUGGUUACAUUCGUGCAAAGAAUUACGUUAAAAUCAAUGUUUUCAAAAAAGGCAUACAAAAGUGUAGCUAGGGUUCCCUGUGUCUGUAGUAUAUUUAUUUACUUGUAUUUCACGUUUUAAUGCCACAAUUCCCUAAAAAGAUCGGUGACCCCCGUUUUUUAACUGAUAAUUUAUUUCUUUAUUGUAUUUUACAUUUCACAUCUGAAAUUAAAAGAAAAAUCAUUUCUGGAUCUUGAAAAAAAAAAUCCUUUAUCAAUGCAUGUUCUCAAAGAAAGAUAUGUAAAGAAAUGUGGAAAAGAUAUUUGUGGAUCAGAAUUGUACACGUUAGUAGUUUCAUUUUGCUCAAAACACAAUAUUUUUUCAAAAAUAAUUACAAGAUUUGCUUACUAAAUUAAAAUCCGCGCUAAAAACGUCAAUAAAUAUCGGGCUGUUGUGAUUUUGCUGUUACUCGUAAUGAGCGUCAAGAUGGCGCCAUAUUGGGGUAAAGGUGGUAUAUUGUGAUUGCCAUAUCUUCUUAACGAGUUCGGUGACCCAGACCUUUCUGUGCGAUUUUACUUUAAGUAUAUCAUAAACUCCAUGCCUGGCAAGUUUCAGCACAUUCUCAUUUCGGGAACAAUAUUACUGCGGAAUUACCGCAGGUGCAAAUUAAGGUGCUAAUUUGUAGCUUCAAUUCAAGAUAAGUUUUACAUGGUUUCCAUUCACCUACAGUACAAGUAUUUUGGUUGCGAAUAUCAUUAUUUUUCUUUUUAGAAAUUAUGAGGAAUAUAAAGCGCUUUAAAAUCGGACCGAAAGCAUUCAUGAAUGGAUUUGAAUCUACCCACGAUGAAAUGCGUACAGAUGAAGAAACCUUCAUUAUCGUUCAUCUUUUAAAGAAAAGUGAUUCAUAUUCUCAAAUACUGGACGGCAACCUUGAACAACUGGCGAUGCUAGCUUGCUGUAGCAGUCCUUAUGUGGUGAAAAGAGCCC
rnacentral:lncRNA from 1 species